AUUGAACGCUGGCGGCAGGCCUAACACAUGCAAGUCGAGCGGAUGAAGGGAGCUUGCUCCUGGAUUCAGCGGCGGACGGGUGAGUAAUGCCUAGGAAUCUGCCUGGUAGUGGGGGAUAACGUCCGGAAACGGGCGCCAAUACCGCAUACGUCCUGAGGGAGAAAGUGGGGGAUCUUCGGACCUCACGCUAUCAGAUGAGCCUAGGUCGGAUUAGCUAGUUGGUGGGGUAAAGGCCUACCAAGGCGACGAUCCGUAACUGGUCUGAGAGGAUGAUCAGUCACACUGGAACUGAGACACGGUCCAGACUCCUACGGGAGGCAGCAGUGGGGAAUAUUGGACAAUGGGCGAAAGCCUGAUCCAGCCAUGCCGCGUGUGUGAAGAAGGUCUUCGGAUUGUAAAACACUUUAAGUUGGGAGGAAGGGCAGUAAGUUAAUACCUUGCUGUUUUGACGUUACCAACAGAAUAAGCACCGGCUAACUUCGUG
rnacentral:rRNA from 1 species